rnacentral:rRNA from 1 species
UGGGGAAUAUUGCACAAUGGGCGCAAGCCUGAUGCAGCAACGCCGCGUGAACGAUGAAGGUCUUCGGAUCGUAAAGUUCUGUUGCAGGGGAAGAUAAUGACGGUACCCUGUGAGGAAGCCCCGGCUAACUACGUGCCAGCAGCCGCGGUAAUACGUAGGGGGCUAGCGUUAUCCGGAUUUACUGGGCGUAAAGGGGGCGUAGGUGGUCUUUCAAGUCGGUGGUUAAAGGCUACGGCUCAACCGUAGUUAGCCUCCGAAACUGGAAGACUUGAGUGCAGGAGAGGAAAGUGGAAUUCCCAGUGUAGCGGUGAAAUGCGUAGAUAUUAGGAGGAAUACCGGUGGCGAAGGCGACUUUCUGGACUUUUACUGACGCUCAGGUACGAAAGCGUGGGGAGCAAACAGG